rnacentral:rRNA from 1 species
AUGGACGAUCAGAGUUAUUUUGAACUUUUGCAAAGUGAUGUCGGAUUGAAUGAUUUGCACUGGACCAAAGAAGAACAAAUGGAUCUCGAAAAGGAUGAAGAAGAACAAACUGAUCUCGAAGGGCCUGCAGAACCUACCCCUCCUAUGACAGCAAGGUCUUUGAAAGCAAAGGGGAAGAAAUCAAGCACCUCGAAACCAAGCGCUUCGAAGAGGCAAAAGAAUUUCAGCAAGGCUGAAGACUUAACUUUGGUGGAUGCAUACCUUGAGAUAACUCAAGAUCCAAUCAUAGGAGUCGACCAAUCUCAUGAUUGUUAUUGGAAAAGAAUCGAUGCUUAUUUCCAUGCCAAUAAAUCUGAAGACCAUGGUCGCACACAAGGUUCUCUUCAGCAUCGUUGGGCUAUUAUUCAAGAACAAGUGAAUAUAUUUUGUGCAUGUUAUAGUCAGGUCCUGAAUAGGAACCAAAGUGGGAUGACACGUGAAAAUAAGACACCGAGAAGUGGAAAUCUCGCCCCCAAAAAAAAACAGAAGACAUCCUCCUUGGAUACUCCUAAUUCAUCAUCUGCUAGUUUGUUUGAGGAUGAAGCUACAUCUCCCUCUAAAGUUGUCCCCAAGAAAAGGCCACCUAGAAUCAAGAGGGCUAAAGAUGCAGCAUGGCGGGCUCAAAGUUCUUCCAGUACAGUUAAUAGUAGUGCCAUGGAAUCAUUUGGGGGUAUCUUGGAGACAAGGGAGUCAAAAAGACAAGAGCGAUUUGAGCUCAUGAUUGCAAUGGACAAACAGAGAGAAGAAGAUAGGUUGGUAGAAGAAAGAAAGAAACUUGCAAUACAAGAAAAAAAGAUGGAAUUAGAAGAAGAAAAGAUACGAAUCAUGAGAAUGGCGAAAGAACGCAUGAUGGGGGCUGAAGAAAGCAAAAUAAUGAGCAUGGACCUUAGUGGCAUGGAUGAGCAAGAACAAGAAUUCUACAAAUUAAGGAAGAGCCAGAUCAUCAACCGACAUCGUAACUCGUCGGCUUGA